AGAGAACAAAGACCCAUCCAUUUUGAGAAAAGGUGGUGAGCAGCACUGUCUUCAAAAUGUGUUCUAUUAAAAUAUGAACAGAAUCAGAAGAAAAGGAAGGAUAGUGGAUCCGGAGCUAGAAUGGACCUGACCCAGCUUCACUUUACUGAGGACAUUCAGUUAACAAAAAUCAAUCAGAUGAAGUACUGCGUGCCUACUAUGUGUGAAGCACAGGAAUUAUGGAGAAGAGGAAGGACCAACAACCUUGAAGCCAUUUUACUUCUUUGCUCAUUAAUGUCUACCAUGUAUGAUGGGAAAAGAAGGACCCUGGUGGUGGGACCUGCUUGCUGUGGCUGGUGGCUAAAGUUUUGAGUCCAUUGCAAAUGCCCAGAUACUCCAAGACCAGUGAAUGAGGAAGUGAUGAAAAGCUGCUGCUGGAAGAGGUCUUCAACGAUCUGAAAACGCUUCCACUGGCAGUGCCUGCACCACGUUCAGAGGCAGCAGUGGGUAGGCCAUAACACUGGGGCAGAAGUGAAUUCAGAAGCUUGGCUGACCGAUGAGGCCAUCUUGCACAACCAGACCCAUUUCCAAAGAGGCCAAAGUUACUUUGUUGGGUCAGAUAAAACCCAGGCAACUAAAGGGAAGCAUGAGGGCAGGACCUGGGCAGUUGAGAUGGUGGACAGCCCAAAUGAUCCACACCCACAGGUCAAAUCCCAGCAUCUGUCUACAGCCACCCUGAGACUCCAAGAACAGAAACAGAACUGUGUUCAAAAAGCAAUUCACUUAAUCUUGUCAAGCGUCAGCUUCGAUGUCUACAGAAUGUUAGCUCCUAGUGGGUAGGGACUGUUUCUACUUUUUAAUUGUUUCUCCAUCACUUACCACUACACCUGGCACAUAGUGAGGACUCAAUAAAUCUUUAUUGAUUGAUUGGCUAAUCUAUAAAAUGGGGAUGCAUACUUCCAUGGGCUCCCUCUCAAUUUUGUUGUGAAGAAAGAUUUUUUUAGGGGGUAAUACAGAAGGCACCACGCUGAACUAGAUAAAGCAGUGGUUCUAAGUAUGGUCCGGAAACAGGGACCUUUUCAGGGGGUCCAUGAGGUCAAAACUAUUUUCAGUUUCUAAUAUAGUAAAUGUCAACAGGU